rnacentral:rRNA from 1 species
GACGAACGCUGGCGGCGUGCUUAACACAUGCAAGUCGAACGGAAAGGCCCUGCGUUUGUGGGGUGCUCGAGUGGCGAACGGGUGAGUAACAAGUGAGUAACCUGCCCUUGACUUUGGGAUAACUUCAGGAAACUGGGGCUAAUACCUGAUAGGUGCUCCUGCUUCAUGGUGGGGGUUGGAAAGUUUCGGCGGUUGGGGAUGGACUCGCGGCUUAUCAGCUUGUUGGUGGGGUAGUGGCUUACCAAGGCUUUGACGGGUAGCCGGCCUGAGAGGGUGACCGGCCACAUUGGGACUGAGAUACGGCCCAGACUCCUACGGGAGGCAGCAGUGGAGAAUAUUGCACAAUGGGCGGAAGCCUGAUGCAGCAACGCCGCGUGCGGGAUGACGGCCUUCGGGUUGUAAACCGCUUUCGCCUGUGACGAAGCGUGAGUGACGGUAAUGGGUAAAGAAGCACCGGCUAACUACGUG